UCAUUUCUUCUUAAGUCGACAAUGAAAAAUGAUGGGCUUCUUAUGAACUUGCUCAUUCUAUUUCUUUACAGCCCAGAUCAAGUCCACUUUUGCAACUUCCAUCAUCUCUGUCGCAUCCCAUCUACUUCGUCUUCUCCGUUACAGCUAUCCAUCCUAUCAAUCAUUUGUGUUCUUUACUUCUCUCUUUAUGGAUUCUUUUCACCUCCCUUUCUUUCUCCUCAUGAAUAAAUGGCUAAAAAGUUUCGUAAUUUCGUCUAAACUUACUUCCAAGCAACCCCGAAAGCCUACUUUGAAGAGCCUGAAGCUAUGGCGAUGAACAGGUACGCCUCUUCUUUCUAAUCUGGCUUUUUCCUUUUCCGUUCGUCGACAUCUUCUACCUGACACACAUGGACAGGGCACUAUCGUACAAGGUUUCAUUAUCAAUGAAAACAACCCCUUAUCAGCAUUGCUCACAACUCGGUGCUGUCCUAGAUUGAAUGGAACUGCUUUUCCAUUGAUUCGAAGCGAUUCAGGUUUAAGCCCUCAAAGGAAACUGUGACGUGAAGGCGAUCUGUACGAUGUAUCCGGCCAUCUCAGGCUAAUUGAUGGCCAACAUUUCCCUAUACUUCAGACCUUUAAGCUUAAAGAAGGACCUUUUAUAAAUUAUCAAGUGCAUCCUAUGGUUAGCAGAGAACCAAAGCAAUGGUGCAUUAAUCAGUUCAACAGAGGUGACCAAGGUGGAGACUUUUACUGGCGAUAUCUUGGCAUGACUGUGUGAAGGAAAUGUCUCAGGUAUCUAGAGGAACUGUCCGUUCACCGACAAUGGCGACAAGGCUAAUCUUUGAUGUUGUGUUUCAUGUACUCUUCAGUCUCUUUGUUAUGUAGCUAAGUGCAUGUCUUCUUCUCUUUAUAUCUUUUUGCUUUCAGGAAGUUAAUAGAGAAAUCAGAUGAAUGGUCCCUAAAGGUAUUGUUUUUGUUGUUGUUGUCAUUGCAGUUGCAGUUGCUUUGUCGAUGACAAAGAAGAAAAGAAAGGGAGCAGAAGGAGAGUAUUGUUAAUGAUAUCAGAGAGUGUUGAAAAAUAUAAAACCAAAGUUAAAGAGUAUUCUACAUAUCACAAGGUCAGUCUCUCUAUCUCUUUCUCGAGAGAUCUAAUUUGAUACGUAAAACCAAUCUAAAACCAAAGUUAAAGAAUUAGCUAGACGGUAGUAAUUAUGCGUUUUAUAAUAAUUUAUAGAAAAAUAUUUAUAUGGUAAUUAGGCGAUAGGGAAAUUAUGCGUUUUAUAAAAAGAUUUAGAAAAUUAUUGAUUAUUUUUUCAAUAUCUAAACCUGUUUUUUUAUAUAAUAAAAUCGUUUAAAACAUUGUUAUGCCACCUCUAAUGGUUUUUAAGAGCAGUCUGUCAAACGAUCUUGGUGGAUUGAACUCAUCUGGUUUUAUGUUUUCAAAUUAACA